rnacentral:lncRNA from 1 species
UCUAAAAAUUUGAUUUCAAUUCCUAUCACUUUCAAGACGGGACACUAGUGAGAUACGAAACACGGGUAGCUCCAGAUUUUGAAAAAGAGUAAGUUUAUUUUUGUUUUAUAAUUUUUUUUAUUUUCAUAUUCUUUUUUACCCUGUAGUUGAGAACUUUGAUUCUUCUCAACUAACCUUAGAUUGUUUGCAAUUUGUGUUUUGAUUGUUUUGGAGUUAAAAGCUUCUAGGUGCUUCUUAAGUUUUUUAAUUUUUAACUCUUUCCUAGAUUUCGAGUUAAUUUCAAAUAAGAGGAGUUAAUUUACUCAGGUUCAUUUCAAUUGGAUUUGUAUAUGAAUUGAACCGUUGGUUAGUAAAUUCGUAAUGAAUCAAUUUGUGAACUUGAUUCUUAAACUUUGGAAAAAAAUUAGAUGUUGGAUGACAUUGUAAAUAAUGAAAUGCUUUUAUUUUAAUUUGGACUCAAUACUAGCAUGUAGACUUAAAAUGUUAUGAGUUGAAAAUGUGUAACUCUUUGUUGUUGCCUUUUCAUUUGAGUUUAGGUUGUUAUACUCAAUUUAAAUAAUAAUACUUAGUGUUUGAAAUCUAUGUCAAAUUUUUUUUUUUUGUAUAAUCUACUCAACAGAUCCCCCAAUCACCCAACAUAUUUUAGGCAACGAGGAAGUGAGUUGAGAUCCUCCAACCACCCAACAUAUUUCAGGCAAAGAGGAAGUGAGUUUUACUGUCAUAAAUUCACUCAGCGAAUCCACCUGUCCAAUGGAUUUGAGGUCAAGAUGAAGUAAUUUUUACUUUGAAAAAUUCGUUGAAUGGAUAAAAACAUUUGUUCUACGAAUUUAGACCGUAAGGGAAUAAAAAUCUUUUGCCAAUUGUCAUUGUUGUUUUAGAAAUAUGGUGGAUUUCAGGUAUGGAAAUGGAAAAAGUAUACCUAAGUAGAUCUAUCACUGAGUUCCCUCAUUUGACACAUAUGUUGAUGUUGAACACAAAAAUUUCCACACUUUGUAUUCUAGAUUUGAAGGGUUGAACACAAAAAUCUCCACACUUUGUAUUCUAGAUUUGAAUGUGAUGUGCAUAGAAAUUUAUUUACCUAUAGUUUUUUUUUUGGAAGAAAACCACCUUGUGAUGAUAGAAUAAGAUAAAGAAAGUAAUAAAGAUAAAAUAAGAUAUGGUAUGAAAAUAAAAUAAUGUAUUUAUAUUAUAUUAAAAUUUAAA